GUCUUCUUCAAUCCAAUUAAAAAUGUCACUUGUGUGACAGGAACAAAACACUGUAUAACUAUUCAAAGCUUAUACGACGUUUAGUAGUAAGGGGGUUAAUCUUUAAUGUCAUAUAGAU